AUUGAACGCUGGCGGCAGGCCUAACACAUGCAAGUCGAGCGAGCGGCGGACGGGUGAGUAAUGUCUGGGAAACUGCCUGAUGGAGGGGGAUAACUACUGGAAACGGGAGCUAAUACCGCAUACCAUCAGAUGUGCCCAGAUGGGAUUAGCUAGUAGGUGGGGUAACGGCUCACCGAGGCGACGAUCCCUAGCUGGUCUGAGAGGAUGACCAGCCAAACUGGAACUGAGCCACGGUCCAGACUCCGACGGGAGGCAGCAGUGGGGAAUAUUGCACAAUGGGCGCAAGCCUGAGGCAGCCAGGCCGCGUGUGUGAAGAAGGCCUUCGGGUUGUAAAGCACUUUCAGCGGGGAGGCGUUACCAACAGAAUAAGCACCGGCUAACUGCGUGCCAGCAGCCGCGGUAAUC
rnacentral:rRNA from 1 species